UCCCACUUGCCGGUGCGGCCAAGCGUUCCACGUCGAGUGCAUCGACAUGUGGCUGUGCUCCCACUCCUCCUGCCCGCUCUCUCGUGGCGCCGUUGUCGACGAGGAGGCGGCGGUGGCGCCCCCGCGGGCUGUAGCACCGGCACCCACAAACUAGGCUGAUGGCCUAUUGCCGGUGGCUGGGGACUGAAAAUAUCAUCCUUGAGAAGCCAGAUGCAACCACAUCCCACAGGAACGGCUCGACAAUCUCUGAAGGCACAUAAUAAAUUCAGUUUUGCUACUGUUAUUCCUCUGAUCCUGUGUUUCUGAAGAUCAAGUGUUUCCCUUGUGCAGAUCACAUUCUGAAGCAAAUCCUGCCUGCUGGAGUGGAGGUACCCUCUUCUUUUGAGACAAUUGUUAAGUAUACUAAACUUUAUGAUGUGUUCAUCCACUUUUUGGUGUGAUCUUGUUACUAUUUUUUUUUGUAUGAUAAGUGCAGGUCAUGUUGCUCAUUUGAACAUAUCUGAUGACUUGCUAGCAUAUAAAAAAGUCAUAACAAAGGUUAUCUAUGAUGUCAGCAUGCCUUUCUCUUUCUGAGUAACUUGCCGCAGAAAGAUAUGAUGGAAACAGGAGCACACCCAAUGGACUUCACAGAUGGCCUCAAAAAACUCAGAAUAAACAAGAGUGCAGAGUAUGACAGAUUUGCUUAGUGACCAUAGUGUUACUCCUGGAAGUCCUGGGUUAUCUUGGCGGUCUGCUUCGAGCUCUGGUGGUUCUGGACACGGGUUUUGUACCAUUGGAUCCAGAAGUGCAAUUGCCAUCAGGAAGUGGAAGGUCCAAGAGGCAACAUUCAUCUGGAAGAAGCUUGGGGAAUCUUGAUCCAGUUGGACUUUUUCCACUGGAGCAGGAAGUGAGGGACUUCAAGAUGAGAAGACUUAUUAAUUACUCGUGGUCUUGUUAGCGAUAACAGCAGCACCAUUCUUUUGUUCUCUGUUACGUGGUAGACUUAGCAAUUUGCUUACUUAAAUAUGCAUCUGUUGAAUAUUUUAGAACAUACUUGUAGAUUUAAUGUCAGAAAUUAAAUGACUGAAGAUGAUCUGAAAGUUAGAAUUUGUUAUCUUUCACGCAGUAUAUGCUAUGCUGCUUAUUGUCCAUAAAUAGCAUGGCGCUGCCAGUUACCAAAUGGUAAAGCUAUUUUUGUAGAUAGCUUGUGAUUGGUCAUACUCUUACACUGUAACGACCUUGUUUAGAGGAUCUACACCUUCACGGCAUGCCUGGUUGCUGUACUCGCCUUGACAAUCUUGGUUUUUUGAAUUGGGCUCAACCUUGGAACCAGGGAAAAACCAGUAAAAGCUGACAAAGCUGCUAUCCUAAGCCAUGCUACUCGCAUGGUUAUUCAGAUUCGCUCUGAAGCGCAGCAGCUCGAGGACACCAAUGGUAAUCUUGAAGAAAAGAUUAAGGAACUAAAGCUCGUGAUCGCGAUGAGAAGCAGAAGCUGAAACUAGAGGAGAGUUUAGAGCACCAGAUGAAGCUUAUGACCUCAACUCCAGCCUAUAUGCCUCAUCCAACCCUGAUGCCAGCACCCUCCCCACAGGCUCUGCUAGCACUGUUCCAUCCCCAAGCGCAAGCUGCAGGGCAGAAGCUGACGAUGCCCUUUGUUGGCCACCCGGGAUACCCAAUGUGGCAGUUCAUGCCACCUUUUGAAGUCGACACCUCGAAGGACGGUUAAGAGAAAUAUUAUCUUUAUUUGUACCGUGAAAGAUUGGGACAAAUUCUCAGGCAUUAUAGGCGUGUCCUCAUCACGGGUGAUCUUGCCGAGCC